rnacentral:rRNA from 1 species
UACGUAGGUGGCAAGCGUUGUCCGGAUUUACUGGGCGUAAAGAGCGCGCAGGCGGUCGAUCAAGUCGCGUGUGAAAGCCCCCGGCUCAACUGGGGAGGGUCACGCGAUACUGAUCGACUCGAAGGCAGGAGAGGGUAGUGGAAUUCCUGGUGUAGCGGUGAAAUGCGCAGAUAUCAGGAGGAACACCAAUGGCGAAGGCAGCUCGCUGGGACGGUACUGACGCUGGAGACGCGAAAGCGUGGGGAGCAAACAGG